GGACGACCAGCCACACUGGGACUGAGACACGGCCCAGACUCCUACGGGAGGCAGCAGUGGGGAAUUUUGGACAAUGGGCGAAAGCCUGAUCCAGCAAUGCCGCGUGUGUGAAGAAGGCCUUCGGGUUGUAAAGCACUUUUGUCCGGAAAGAAAUCCUUGGUUCUAAUAUAGCCGGGGGAUGACGGUACCGGAAGAAUAAGCACCGGCUAACUACGUGCCAGCAGCCGCGGUAAUACGUAGGGUGCGAGCGUUAAUCGGAAUUACUGGGCGUAAAGCGUGCGCAGGCGGUUUGCUAAGACCGAUGUGAAAUCCCCGGGCUCAACCUGGGAACUGCAUUGGUGACUGGCAGGCUAGAGUAUGGCAGAGGGGUGUAGAAUUCCACGUGUAGCAGUGAAAUGCGUAGAGAUGUGGAGGAAUACCGAUGGCGAAGGCAGCCCCCUGGGCCAAUACUGACGCUCAUGCACG
rnacentral:rRNA from 1 species